AAGCCAGAGCACAGAGUCAGCAGUAGGAGGAUGGAAGAACAGAAGGAACAGAAAAGAGUGAAGCAGCAGGGAGGAAGGGCAAAAUACAAAAAGGAGUGAGGAAACAAGGAAGGAGGAAUGGAGACUAGAGUCCAAAAGAAGAGGUGAGGUUGAAUAGAGGAAGUGAGGACUCCUGGCUGGGUGAGGGCAAGGAGAGGCAGAGAGGAAUCCAGAGCAAAGAGGCAGAGGCAAUGGGUCAGGGAUGAUAAGAGGAACAAAAGGCUGGAUCCAGAGAAAGACUGGGUGAGCCUGGGGGUACAGGAGCGGACAGCAGCCCUGUGCUGAGGUGGCCUAGUGACCUGGGCUACACGUGGGCCUGGUGGGUGGCAGCCACAGCCAGAGACUCACCUGCCUUCCCCUUCCCAGCCCUCCUCCCUCCCUCCACGCCCCUCCUGAGCCUUCUGCCACCCCAUAACUCAGCCAGCAGUCAGCCGACUGUGCCAGCUCACAGCAAAGUGCCAGGUGUCCCCUGCCACUCAGUCAGAGGUGCAGCAGGCCCCACCCCAGGGCCCCCAGUCCGAGAUGCCAGCACUUGGGAACAUCCCUGUGCUGCGGUCAGGAGCGAUGUCACCAUGGGAUGAUGGGACGAUAGGACGGUGAUGCACCCAGUUGGGGUAGGAGUAGAACAGAGGAGAAAGGGGCAAUGUAAAUGCAGAGAGACAGGUGUGAGGGACAAGGGACAGGUGUGCCUUUAGUGACAUCGUUCAUCCUCACACCAUCCCUGAGGAGUAGGCAGGAGUAUUCCAUGCUACUGAUGAGGAAACUAAGGCCCAGACUGUGUAAGUUACAUAUCAAGGACAUCCAUGGAUGAAAGGUAAAGCAGGGAAUCAAAUUCAGGCGAUCUGCUUCACAAAUCCCUGUCCUUGCACUCACUGCCUGGAUGAGGCUCAAGGGACGCAAGGACAGGAAGGCCCAGAAGCCAGGGCUGGGCUCCUCCAGAGGGAGGAGGCGCCUAGUUCCUGGGAGCCCUAGUUCCAGGUUGCCAUAGUUACUCAGUGUUUCCACCCCAAACACAGUAAUGGGAAGUGGGGGAGCCUGGCUGGACACGGCCAGGCCAGAGGUGCUGCUGGACAGAAGCCACUGACAGGAUCCCCCCAGCUCCUCAUGCUGGACCUUCCUAGCAGAACCUUCACCUCCUCAAUUUCAGCCCUCCCCAGCCCCGGCAAGGAGAGAAUUACCAUUGGGAGCCAUGGCAGGCAUCACCAGGGACAUCUUGGGCCGAGACGUCUUAUUGUGGCUGAUGGCAGGAAGCAGCAAGUGGUCCUGGGAGACAGAAGGGCCAGGCCAGGAGGCUGGAGGCAAAGAUGUGGACAGGUUCCUCCAUCCUACUCUAGAGCCUCAGCCUCAAGAUAGACUGCUGGAGAACCCAGGGUGACAGGGAUGGGGCAGGGGAGGAACUCACCCUUCGGAAAGACACAACAUAAAAGGUGUCCUCUCGUCGGUCAAUUGCAUCCAGGAACUCUGGCUGUGAACGGUCUGGGUGGCGAUACAGCUGCAGUUGGCCCACAAAGUCCCUAGCCAAGUGGAGAAACAGGAUUUGGGAGGAACUAAGCCCAAUGCUCAGGUCCCACUGGGGAAGGUGGGAGAGGAUGAGGGAGAAAAGGAAAAGAGCCCCCAACGGAUGAGGAAGGCACAAUGCCACUGAUGGCAAUGACAAUGGGCACAGGACAGAUUCUGGGGGUUUAGCUUUUUUUUUUUUUUGGUUUAGCUCUUGAGAGUGAAACCUCCCUUAAUAACAGACAAGCACCCCCAUACACUCACCUCUCUGGGGGCACCAGGGACUGGGUGGGGACUGCCUUAACUGGAGGUGACUUCUUCCGUAGCUGAGACUUCUGGAAGGAGAAGUAUCUAAGGAUGUGAAGAGGGUGAAGGCAAAGGGAAAGAGAGACGGCCCCUGGAAGCUGAUGUCACCUCACCCCUCCACUCACCCCAAAUGAUCCCUCAAACCUCCACAAAGAGAUGCUAACUCAAAAUCCCUAAGACAUCUAGUCUUCCAGUGGGCCUUCCUGGAACCAGCCCUAGCCCCCUCCUACCUGUCUCUCCUGGGCCCUCUGGGGGAUCUUCCGCCGUCCUCUCUGGUGGCGCUGGACCCAGCCGCUCAGCUCAUCAGCAAGCCUAAGGAAGCAGAGGCCAAGGCUCCCAUCUUCCCUGCCCGCAAGCAGCAGGAAGAAGAGAGGGCAGGGAGAACUGGUGCUUUAGCACAGCAGGACAGCCAGGCCAGAGAGGAUGUGCCUCAGCUGGCAACCGCACCUCAGAGACUCGGUCCGGUUGAAGUGCCGACAGUCAGAGGAGAGGAAGAGCUGGUCCAGGUCUCUCAGGAGCAGCUCCUUGGCACCCCCGGGGAAGGCUGUCAGGUUCCUGGAGUGAGGCAGGAAGGGGGAAAUGACCAGAGGCUGACCAGCACCCCUUGACCAGCAGAACAGGCAAUGAUGGCAAGAGAACUCUGGCUCCCCUCAAAAAGAAAAGGUAACUUUUGGGGAGAAGAUACACUUGGCAAAGUGUACUUCCCAAAAGGGAGAGGGCCCUCUCCUCACCUGAAACCUGGUCGGCCUGGUGGGCUGGGAUGGAGCUCCUCAGGGCCCAGGGAAGAACCCCUAAGGGGUUCCACUCCCUCAACUGGCUCUUGUGUUGAGAACUCUAGCAAGUGUCUCCGGGGCUGAGGUUCCUCUCUGCUCAUCCGAGGAGACAGAGGAGCUGGAGGAGGCUCACUGAUGCUGGGGAUAAGGAAGGACGGAGAGUGAGGGGUUCUGGCUUUAUCAAGGGGCCUGCUUAAGAUCCUAGGCUCUGCAGACAGCCCAUGUGGGUUCCAGUCUACUCCACAAGAGUGAAUCUCUUCACAUGUAAGAUGGGAAUGAGAACUAUCCCUACCCCCUAAAGCCAGGAAGCAUGAGAACUCGGUAAGCGCUUUAAAAGUGACUAUUUUCACCAAUAUUAUUAGCACUAUCUGCUCCAGGUGAGGACCUACCACUUGAGAAAAAUGAUGGAAUGAGAAGGGACUGGCUGGAUGCAUCACUGGUGCUAAGGACACCAGCACUGUCUGUGUGUAAGCAGGAUGAAAGGCACUAUGCCAAUGCAUGCCGGCAGGCAGUGGUGAGGGUGGCCUUCACCCUGAAGCUUGGGGGUGGGUGGGGAAGGUCUCACCUGACAGGUCCAAAGUUGAAGGCAAUGAAGAGAAGGAAGACCAUGAUGCAGACCACCUUCCUGUUUCCAGAACCUAACUUGAGCUCGCUGUUCUAAGGUGCAGAGAAAGGGCAGAGAGAGAGAGAGAGAGAGAGAGAGAGAGAGAGAGAGAGGCAUAAGUCAGCCCAAAGGAGCAGGUAUUCCCAUUGGCCCCCCAAGGUUGACCGGUCUUACCUCUGCCAGCAGGGCCUCCAGUCGCCGCCGGAGGGCAGCAUUCUCCCGGCGGAGCUGCUGGUUGUCCGCCAACACCGCCUGCAGCCGGGCCUCCAGCCCCUGCAAAUACUCUUUCUUCUUCCUCCUGGACUGGCAGGCUGACUCCCGGUUCUUGAUCAUUCGCUGCUGCCGCUUCAGCAGCUUUGCCUAGGGUCCCCAGACGGUCGGACGGUCGAACAGUCAAAGAAAGGAACGACAGAUGGGUGGGAGAGGGGAACCAUAUCUCCCAACUUCAGGGACUGAUCAGCCACUGCUCACACUGGCCACUCUCCUGCCUUCCUGUCCUCUACCUACUUGGCUGGAGAAGGGCCAUCCCUCUCUGCUAAAACAUUUCAAGGAAGAGCCCUUCUCUCACCACUCCAUCUUUCCUGUUCCUCAGAGCUGGGAGAAGUCAGACUGUAGGAAGAACUUCCUCCAUCCUAGCUCCUGGUGGAAACUCCGUUCCUUUCCCUGGUUGGGGGGCGGGGUGUCUUCCUUCCUCUCAAUUCUUUUUAAGGGCCCACAGCUUAACUUUGCUAUAAUUAAAGAACACUUUACCUGGUUUUCUGUUAGGAGCCUCCCUCUACUAACUACCGCCACAGUCACAACCACUGCCUUAGAUUUACUGACACCAUUCCAUUUCUCUGCCUGCAGUGAUAGCAAAACUAAGUAAGGAUCCUAAAAUUAUACAGAUUUGAUGUUGACAUGCAAAUAUAAGCUGUUAUCCUGGAAUGGUGUCAGUAAAUUAUACAGAUUUGAUGUUGACAUGCAAAUAUAAGCUGUUAUCCACUUGACCUUCAGGAUCAUUUUAUGUGUUCACUUCUUUUUUGUUCCUUCCUCAAUCCACAAUUCUCUUUCCCAUGACAGACUUCCCUCCUCCCUUCCUAUUACUAGCCUUAGCCCCCUCCUCCCCAAUACUUACAUCCACUUCAGGUGGGCAGGAGUUCCCAGGCAUAGGAGCUGGAACAAUGCUCUUCCUCUCAGGCCUUGGAGCAGCGGGGGCUGGCCCCUCAGGCUGGACCCGAAUAGCACCUUGGAUGAGGACAACUGGGGACACUGGGGCAAAUGAUUAGGGGGAAGUGAGACCUGUAGGUCAGGUGGAGUUAUAGUAUACACACCCCCACCUGAGGACCCAAAGGUUGGGAGCCUCAAUGGCUAUGAGCUCGCCAAGAAAGUCAAUCCAGCCCGGCUCCUUCUCUCCUUCUUCAGUACCUGGGGGUGGCUGGACAAGGGGCUGCAACAGGAUGGUGGUGCUGGGGGGCACAGCUCUGGGUGGCAUUGGGACGGUGGUUAUCACCACAGGUUUGGGCUGCAAGGGUGGCUUCCGGGUGGGCAGGGCUUUGCCUGAUGGAAGGGGAAAGGAAGGAAGGAAGGAAUGUCAGACUCAAGGCAUCUUGCCAGGGAUCCCAAGGUGUCAGGAGGCCCUAUUACCUAAGGAGCCAUCGGAGGAUGGGCCCAUGCUGAUCUGGACACCUCCAAGUGGGGGGCCUAGGACAUCCUGCAGGAGACACCCUUGAGGUGACAGUGACUCCGUCUUCACUUCCAGUACCUCUUCUCUUAUAAAAGCCUGUGUUGGGCAUUCCAGAAGAUAUGUGAGUCAGGAGGAAU